GAUGAAGAACGUAGCGAAAUGCGAUAAGUAAUGUGAAUUGCAGAAUUCAGUGAAUCAUCGAAUCUUUGAACGCACAUUGCGCCCGUCAGUAUUCUGGCGGGCAUGCCUGUUCGAGCGUCAUUACGCCCCUCAAGUCCCCUGUGGACUUGGUGUUGGGGAUCGGCGAGGCUGGUUUUCCAGCACAGCCGUCCCUUAAAUUAAUUAGCGGUCUCGCCGUGGCCCUCCUCUGCGCAGUAGUAAAACACUCGCAACAGGAGCCCGGCGCGGUCCACUGCCGUAAAACCCCCCAACUUUUUAUAGUUGACCUCGAAUCAGGUAGGACUACCCGCUGAACUUAAGCAUAUCAAAAGCGGAGGA
rnacentral:misc_RNA from 1 species